rnacentral:rRNA from 1 species
AAGAGAGCCUGAACACAGGUGCUGCAUGGCUGUCGUCAGCUCGUGUCGUGAGAUGUUGGGUUAAGUCCCGCAACGAGCGCAACCCUUGCCAUUAGUUGCUACGAAAGGGCACUCUAAUGGGACUGCCGGUGACAAACCGGAGGAAGGUGGGGAUGACGUCAAGUCCUCAUGGCCCUUAUGGGUAGGGCUUCACACGUCAUACAAUGGUACAUACAGAGGGCUGCUAAAUCGUGAGAUGGAGCCAAUCCCAGAAAGUGUAUCGUAGUCCGGAUUGAAGUCUGCAACUCGACUUCAUGAAGUUGGAAUCGCUAGUAAUCGCGGAUCAGCAUGUCGCGGUGAAUACGUUCCCGGGUCUU